AAUAGUUUUGUAAUUGGAAUGAGUUAAGUAUAAACCCCUUUACAAGUAUCAAUUGGAGGGCAAGUCUGGUGCCAGCAGCCGCGGUAAUUCCAGCUCCAAUAGCGUAUAUUAAAGUUGUUGCAGUUAAAAAGCUCGUAGUUGGAUUUCUGUUAAUAAUUUAUAUAUAAUAUUUUAUUAAUAUUUAUAUAGUAUUAACAUAAUUCAUAUUACUAUAUUUUAUAGUAUAUGAAAUUUUACUUUGAGAAAAUUAGAGUGCUUAAAGCAGGCAUUACCCUUGAAUACUCCAGCAUGGAAUAAUAUAAAAGAUUUUUAUCUUUUUUAUUGGUUCUAAGAUAAAAAUAAUGAUUAAUAGGGACAGUUGGGGGCAUUUGUAUUUAACAGACAGAGGUGAAUUUCUUAAAUUUGUUAAACACAAUCAAGGGCGAAAUUAUUGGCCAAGGAUGUUUUCAUUAAUCAAAAAAGAAAGUUGGGGGACCAAAGACAAACAAAUACCGCCAUACUCUUACCCAUAACCUAUGCAAACUAUAGAGUGGAUGUUGUUCCU
rnacentral:rRNA from 1 species